rnacentral:rRNA from 1 species
GAGUUUGAUCCUGGCUCAGAACGAACGCUGGCGGCGUGCUUAACACAUGCAAGUCGAACGUGAUCCGGAGCUUGCUCCGGUGAAAGUGGCGCACGGGUGAGUAACGCGUGGAUAAUCUGCCCUGGUAUYUGGGAUAACAUCUCGAAAGGGGUGCUAAUACCGGAUAAGCCUACGGACUCUUCGGAGUCUGCAGGAAAAGGUGGCCUCUAUUUAUAAGCUACCGUAUCAGGAUGAGUCCGCGUACCAUUAGCUAGUUGGUGGGGUAAUGGCCUACCAAGGCGACGAUGGUUAGCUGGUCUGAGAGGAUGAUCAGCCACACUGGAACUGAGACACGGUCCAGACUCCUACGGGAGGCAGCAGUGGGGAAUUUUGCGCAAUGGGGGAAACCCUGACGCAGCAACGCCGCGUGAGUGAUGAAGGCUUUCGGGUCGUAAAGCUCUGUCAGAGGGGAAGAAAUGAGUCUGGCUAAUAUCCAGAUUUCUUGACGGUACCCUCAAAGGAAGCACCGGCUAACUCCGUGCCAGCAGCCGCGGUAAUAC